GUCUUCAUGGCGCAGUUGGUUUAGCGCGUUGGUCUCAUAAUCCAAAGGUCGCGAGUUCGAGUCUCGCUGAGGACA